CAGCCGCCGCGGUAAUACGAAGGGGGCUAGCGUUGUUCGGAUUUACUGGGCGUAAAGCGCACGUAGGCGGACUUUUAAGUCAGGGGUGAAAUCCCGGGGCUCAACCCCGGAACUGCCUUUGAUACUGGAAGUCUUGGGUAUGGUAGAGGUGAGUGGAAUUCCGAGUGUAGAGGUGAAAUUCGUAGAUAUUCGGAGGAACACCAGUGGCGAAGGCGGCUCACUGGACCAUUACUGACGCUGAGGUGCGAAAGCGUGGGGAGCAAACAGGAUUAGAUACCCCGGUAGUCCCUGUCUCUUAUAC
rnacentral:rRNA from 1 species